CCUACGGGAGGCAGCAGUGAGGAAUAUUGGUCAAUGGGCGGGAGCCUGAACCAGCCAAGCCGCGUGAGGGAAGAAGGUACAGCGUAUCGUAAACCUCUUUUGUCAGGGAACAAAGGCGGGGACUAGUCCCCGGAUGAGGGUACCUGAAGAAAAAGCAUCGGCUAACUCCGUGCCAGCAGCCGCGGUAAUACGGAGGAUGCGAGCGUUAUCCGGAUGUAUUGGGUUUAAAGGGUGCGCAGGCGGCCUGUUAAGUCAGCGGUAAAAGCCCGGGGCUCAACUCCGGCGAGCCGUUGAAACUGGCGAGCUGGAGUUAGAGAGAAGUACGCGGAAUGCGCGGUGUAGCGGUGAAAUGCUUAGAUAUCGCGCAGAACCCCGAUUGCGAAGGCAGCGUACCGGCUCCACACUGACGCUGAGGCGCGAAAGCGUGGGUAUCGAACAGGAUUAGAUACCCUAGUAGUC
rnacentral:rRNA from 1 species